rnacentral:tRNA from 3 species
GCGCCAUUAGCUCAAUUGGAUAGAGUCGCGCACUACGAAUGCGAAGGUUGGGGGUUCGAGUCCCUCAUGGCGCGCCA